rnacentral:ncRNA from 1 species
GAUGUUGGCUCUUCCUUUCAUAUUGAAGGAGACUUUACUAAGUGCUGGAUAAUUCAUCCACUACCAAGGAACGUGAACUGCAUUUAGACUAUGGUUAGACAAGUU